UGCCUCAGUAACGGCGAGUGAAGCGGCAGCAGCUCAAAUUUGAAAUCUGGCACCCGCCCGAGUUGUAAUUUGGAGAGGACGCCUUGGGGGCCGGCCCCGGUCCAAGUCCCUUGGAACAGGACGCCGCGGAGGGUGAGAGUCCCGUAUGCGGCCGGGUGCCGUCCCCGCGCAAGGCUCCUUCGACGAGUCGAGCUGUUUGGGAAUGCAGCUCCAAACGGGAGGUAUAUUCCUUCUAAGGCUAAAUACCGGCCGGAGACCGAUAGCGCACAAGUAGAGUGAUCGAAAGAUGAAAAGCACUUUGGAAAGAGAGUUAAAGAGUACGUGAAAUUGCUGAAAGGGAAGCGUUUGCGGCCAGACUUGACCGCGGUUGCUCAGCCGGUCCACUGCCCGGCGCACUCUUCCGCGGUCAGGCCAGCAUCAGUUCGGGCGGCCGGAGGAAGGCUCCGGGAACGUAGCCCCCCGGGGUGUUAUAGCCCGCUGCACAACACGGCCCGCCCGGACUGAGGACAGCGCCUGCUAGGAUGCUGGCGUAAUGGCAGCCAACGGCCCGUCUUGAAACACGGACCAAGGAGUCUAGCACGCGUGCGAGUGUUUGGGUGUCAAACCCGGGCGCGCAAUGAAAGUGAAUGGAGGUGGGAGCCGCGGCGCACCAUCGACCGAUCCCGAUGUGCUCGGAAGGAUUUGAGUAGGAGCACGCGUGCUGGGACCCGAAAGAUGAUGAACUAUGCCUAGAUAGACCGAAGCCGCCCGAAAGGGCGGUGGAGGGUCGCAGCGGUUCUGACGUGCAAAUCGAUCGUCAAAUCCGGGCAUAGGGGCGAAAGACU
rnacentral:rRNA from 1 species